GCCUGCUCCCUUUCUCUCCAAGUUUUAAAAUCAUCUUAUAGUUUUCCAUUCCCACUUGCUCGAUUCUUAUGAUCUCUGACGCUGGUUUUAUCUUUCGCUGCUUCAAGUCCUGCUCCACCGUCAUUUACAUAUUAUGAUCUGGACCAAGUUGGCAGUCAGAUUAUUUUCCAAAUAGAAAAGAAACAUAAUCUCUCAAGGUUGUACUCACAAGUUGGCCAGAAUAAGCAGCUCCUUAGCGUAGUCUCUGAGAUGUUUUAUUUAUUUAGUCUCGAAGAGACGGCCUCCUACGAUCUGGAGCAAGUUGGAGCUCAGAAGAUAUUCCACCAGAGGAGAAAAUUAAAAAACAAAAAAAAUACCAUAGGAUUUGUUGCUGAUACUAAAGGAGCUACCAUCACAAUUUGUGUGUCGCUGCAGCUUGCUUCUUCUGUUUAACAACACGGAUGAAAUGAAUGGAAGAGGAAAAAACGAAUGACUCUACGUACCCUCAGUCCAGAUUGCUCGAUUGUAAAGGUGGCCAUUGAACCUCUGAAUCGCUUUGCACCAGCUUCCACGUUCCAUGAAGCUCGUCCGAUCUUCUGUCUUUAUGACUGUUGCUUCGUCUUAGAGUUCGCUCCAGCUCUUGUAGUCUCCGCAUGUCAGAGGCGAACAUCAGCCGUUUUUCAGUCUUUGUGAAGCCGAACCUCUGGCUCCACCGCCACAA
rnacentral:lncRNA from 1 species